AUCGCUAGUAAUCGCGGAUCAGAAUGCCGCGGUGAAUACGUUCCCGGGUCUUGUACACACCGCCCGUCACACCAUGGGAGUCGGAAAUGCCCGAAGUCUGUGACCUAACCGUAAGGAAGGAGCAGCCGAAGGCAGGUCGGAUGACUGGGGUGAAGUCGUAACAAGGUAAC
rnacentral:rRNA from 1 species